rnacentral:rRNA from 1 species
GCAAGACCAAAGUGGGGGACCUUCGGGCCUCAUGCCAUCAGAUGUGCCCAGAUGGGAUUAGCUGGUAGGUGGGGUAACGGCUCACCUAGGCGACGAUCCCUAGCUGGUCUGAGAGGAUGACCAGCCACACUGGAACUGAGACACGGUCCAGACUCCUACGGGAGGCAGCAGUGGGGAAUAUUGCACAAUGGGCGCAAGCCUGAUGCAGCCAUGCCGCGUGUGUGAAGAAGGCCUUCGGGUUGUAAAGCACUUUCAGCGGGGAGGAAGGCGGUGAGGUUAAUAACCUCACCGAUUG